AGCAGUAUCUGUUUAUCCCUUUUUGUUUGUGACGCCUAAAGGGUUACUGAAUGUGAGCAUGUGCCUCGGCACUCAAGUCUAAUUUAGUAUCACAUGCUCACUAGCCAAUCCCAGCUAAAUGGUUCUGCUCCUGAUUCAUCACAGCUAAGCAAUGCCAAAAAUGUUACUGGACGACCCCUGAAAAGAAAAGUUUGGUCUUUCAAAAGCAGCCAGACAGCUGAUAUGUUAAAUACGCACAGCAUCGGGGUUCUUGUGUCACUGCAGAAGUGCUUAUUGCCAGCUGCGCAAUCUUUGCCUCGGUAUUCUUCUAUUUCUGGAGUACCUUCAGUGGGUUAAGAGUAUUAUUUGGAGCUAUUGCCUUAAUGAUCAUGUUCGGCAUUGGCAGUACUUUAGUUCCAAAGAAGGGAUUCUGGGUCUUUAUGUGCCUUCGAAGCCUCUUGGACUCAGUAAAAGUUGAUUAUAUGGCUGCUACUCCUGCCCUGAUAGCAGACAUUUUUGAUGGUGAAUCUCGACUUAAAAUGCAGACCUUACAUUAUGUUCUUAACACUUUUGGGUGAUAGCACCACUGUUAGAUCUGGCAGCUCUGGGGCUGCUAGCAGCAGUGACGAGAAAGCCAGCUCGAGGUGGCAUGACGUUCAAGGCUGAUAUACAUCAAAAGAAAACAACUUUACACUCUGAUUAUCUUGAUCUUGUUUUAAACUGUCUUCAGGAACAAGCAUCAGGAUGGACUGCAGUAAAAUUUAUUUUAUAUUAAUUUCAAAUAAUAUUUGAAUAUACUGUAUUUUAUAUACUUGUGUAAAUGUAUAUAUUUUAUGCUGUAAAUAUUUUGUAUAUAGUUUAUUAAGCGAUCAUUAAACUAUGCUGGAAUUAAAAAAAAGCCUGUUAAACUUC